rnacentral:rRNA from 1 species
UACGAGGGGAGCAAGCGUUGUUCGGAUUUACUGGGCGUAAAGGGCGCGUAGGCGGUCGUGACAAGUCACUUGUGAAAUCUCCGGGCUUAACUCGGAACGGUCAAGUGAUACUGUCGGACUAGAGUACAGAAGGGGCAACUGGAAUUCUCGGUGUAGCGGUGAAAUGCGUAGAUAUCGAGAGGAACACCAAUGGCGAAGGCAGCUCGCUGGGACGGUACUGACGCUGGAGACGCGAAAGCGUGGGGAGCAAACAGG